UUUAGUAGAAUCUAUGGUUUUAAGGUCAUAGUAGUUUUACGAUCGUAUACUUGAAGUUCUGGUCCGAUUCAGGAUCACUAUUUUAACAACCUUGUGUGGUUAAUUUGCAGGAUCGUGAUAGCUAUUGCAAGAUGAUGCACAAGUACAUAGGAUCAGAUGUUAUAUCACUUGUGACACUUCCAGUCAUAAUUUUUGAGCCAAUGACAAUGCUUCAGAAAAUGGCUGAGCUUUGUUAGGUGUUCCAUUUUAGUUAUCUGUCUACUUCCUUUAUACUGGUUCUGGUUAUAUGCGCGCGUAUCUAUUAUUAUGUAUAAGCAUUGUUGCUACUGGUCCUUAUCGAGAAUCGCAUAAGGAGACAACUUCAUGGGCUAGGAGGCUUAACUGACGGUUUCGACCUUGGGAUGAACAUGUUGUUGGGAGGAGACAAGGAAGAUGAUGGCGGUUCAAGCAAGUCGCAUGGCAAGAGCGGAAACCGAAAGAAGCACCUGAAGAACAGCAAGAAGAGGAAGAGGCAUUAGCCCUGGACUCACACUCCUAUAUCACUUCAACAUACUUGAGUGUGUGACAUGUCAGUUAUUUUACAGAUAUGUUAGUUUUACCAUAGUAUUGUUCGAUGUGAUCCUAGCAUGCCCGUGAAUGCUUUGGUUCCCUAUAGAGCUGUUGAUGUCUUUACAUAUUCUUAAGGUCCUUACCAUGUCAAUCACAUGGACUGGUGUGAGUAUAGCUUGUUCCUCAACCAACACUAUAUUAUUAGUUGUGAUUAUACAUAUAAUAUUGUUGCCAGGAUGCUGCCUCCCUUGCAGUAGCAAUCAUGAAAAAGGGACUGCGGAGUCGAAUAUUUCUGGGCUGUGACAACAAGCCCCUUUCUAGGCAAGAAAUAAUGGAUGUUGUUAACAAUAGUGGAAAAUUUGACACGAAGUUUGGAGGCUUUACUGGUACUGACGGUCCAUUGGGGAAGAGAAUGGAGAAUUCAAAAACUCGGGUUGAGAUCGGUUGGGAACCAAAGUAUCCAAGCUUCACCGAAUUCCUUGGUAUCAGCAGUUAACAUCCUUGCAUACUGUUCAGUUAGUCUGACACAGCUGAGUUGCAACCGUGAUUAGAUUGUACAUUGUUUGAAUUUUUAUAUGGUCUGAACUGGUGAUGGUGUACAUCUCAGCUUAAUUUUUUAUUCUCACAGUAUUUGAGCUGUGAACCAGACAGAUGCCACCCCAUCCCACCGGACAAUAUAUACUGUCACGUGAGUGGAUUUGUCGAUCAUGAACCUACAUGGCUACAUAUGGUGUACUCUACCGACUACCGCGCUGCAAAUUGAUUUCAACAAACUGAAAUUGUUCCAGAGAAUUGACAGUCAACUACCGAACAAACGAAUAAUCAACCAAAUGUGAACACGUGCAGACUUGUUCUUUAGCACAGUAUCCGGCAGUUUAUUCAUAGUCAUUCAAAACACUAUUUUGUACUAUCCAUAGUCAUUUAAAACACUAUUUUGUACUGUAAACUGCACUGUUUAUAAAGUGGAGUUUAAAUAUGAGAACGAAGAUUUUAUGUUGUUGGAGAUAGUUACUGUUUGUAUUAUAUAUUUCCGUUGCAACGCACGGGCAUUCAGCUUACACUUCAUAUGUGCUACAUGGAUUUUCCAUCAUAUCUAUGUUUUACACUAUUUUUUUACUUCCGUGGCAUCGCACGGGCACUUACCUAGUAUAUAAUUGAAGAGUAAACGCAAGAUCACACCCAUCUGCUUGCUAACCUGCCAGUAGGGUUGCUGCUGUUUGCGUCAUUCGUCAGAUUCAGUUGUGUGCCAUCUCGCCGUUUCUUCUUGUUAAUAGUCGACACCGCCAUUCAGAUUACCAGCUGCUGCUAUGCGUUCCUUGGAUGGCAUGCCGUAUCUGAUGUCUCAGUUUCUUUGCGUUUCUUUCAGAACACCAUGGGGUCUUUUAAACCACAGCAUGCAUAGACAUUAGUGGUCUGCAGGUUACUCAUCUCUCUCUCUCUCUAUUUAUCUAUCUCAUUUUCAGUAAACUGUAUCAGCUGCAAAUCUUGUCGCGUCCACACCAGAUGCUUCUGUUCACCAAUAGGGUUGAGAAAUAUGCCAGCCGUCGCAUCGGUGAUCCUUGUCCCGGCAGUAUCGCGAGGUAAAAGCAGGAUGGCGAUCUUCCUGGCCGAGGUUUAUCCGAGCGCGAGCCGCCGUCGCCGUCGCCGUCGCGGGUUCGUUCAGACCUGAGACCGAUCGAUGCCCGAAUCCCCCGGCCGUCGCCAGUCGCACGCAGCAGCGCCUUUUGCUUGCCCCUCGCCGGAAUCCGCCGCGCGCGGCGGUGGGGAAAGAAAGGUGAUGUCGUGUCAGAGAGGAUGGGUUGGGAGGACCAUCGAGAAUUCGGACACAUGGUGUGAAGGGCUAGGGCUGCAGCCUGCAGGGGAGCCAUCAGAAAAUAUUGCGCGCAGACCAGCUGUAUCUUUGCUUUCCCAUUGUGGUUUUCGG